rnacentral:rRNA from 1 species
UACGUAGGGGGCAAGCGUUGUCCGGAAUCAUUGGGCGUAAAGCGCGUGUAGGCGGUUCGGUAAGUCGGCUGUGAAAGUCCAGGGCUCAACCCUGGGAUGCCGGUCGAUACUGCCGGACUAGAGUUCGGAAGAGGCGAGUGGAAUUCCUGGUGUAGCGGUGAAAUGCGCAGAUAUCAGGAAGAACACCCGUGGCGAAAGCGGCUCUCUGGGACGGUACUGACGCUGAGACGCGAAAGCGUGGGGAGCGAACAGG